UUGGCACAUUGAAGGUAUUCACUAGACGUGAGCUCUCAUCAGUAUGUAGCAGAAGAAAAAGGAAAGCUUUUCUUUCUAACAGAAAACCACAGCCUGCUUAGAAGCAAUCCCCAUAAUCGACCGUGGCAAAAGCUGUGAAGUAUCUAGAAGAUACUCUGCCCUGGAGAAAGAAGCACACGGUUUUCUCAACUGGGCUCUGUCCUGUGGAGCCAUCAGAGAAACACUCGGGAGGACAGCAAACAAGAUGCCAGCUCCCAGCCUCGGAUGACCCCAAGAGAAGAAUGAUGGGCCAGAAUGAGCACACCCAAGUUGAACAGAGAUUAAGUGUAACAUAACUGGUUUUGGUUCAAAGAGUCAAUUCCGGCUCCUGGAUUCAAAGAACUAAAACAGGAUGUGACUGAAACUGAGGCAGCGUACUUCCCCACCCCCAUACCACGCCAACGGGCACACUCAUCGUGCUGCAAGAGAUAACAAUCAGACUUUGGGUUUGUGGGAGAACAAACCCUGCCACGUCUGCUCCCAGCUGAGAUACAGCUUAGUGAAUGUGGAGACUCGCCUCCAGGCUGCCUUUGGCCUUGAAAAGUAUGGAAGGAAAAUCCUCCUCUGUGACGGCGGUGAAUACAUGACUUUGACUUUAUUCCCCAUUUGUCACACUUCAGCCAUUUCUGUGCACAGCCAAGUGUGCAGGCUGCCCGUCUCCGAGGCUUACGGCACAGGGGGAAGUAACCUGGGUAGGUAGCUCGAAGGUCGUGAACACCCAGAACUGAGCUGUACCAAGACAUGGAGGCAGUUGGCAAGACAGGUAUGAUAUGGCUGCUGCCUGGAUGAAACGAAAAGUUCCACAGCAAGGAGAAUGAAAGGAAAGUGGGUUUUGAGCCCUAUCUAGCGGCCUGAUUUGUUUAUGAUGUAAUUACGUUAAAGAUAAAAUCACACUGGAUUAGGAUGGGCUCUACAUCCAAUGACCGGUAUUCUUAUAAGAAGGCCAUGUAAAGAUGCAGAGACACACAGGAAAGAAGGCCAUGUGAUGAAAGACAGAGAGAUUAGAGGGACGCAACCACAAGACGAGUACUGCCAAGGACCGCCAGCAGCCACUGGAAGCAAGGGAGAGGCAUGGGACAGAUUCUUCUGUCAGAGGCGCCGGAAGGAAACAACCCUGCCCAUACUCGGAUUCUGACCGUCUGGCCUCCUGAACCGUAAAAGCAUAAAUUUCUGUUGUUUUUAAUCACUCAGUUUGUGAUAAUUUGUUACUGCAGCCCUAGGAAACCAUCACAGGAAGCAAAAAAAUCUAGGCUGAAAAGAUUCUCUCUGAGUAGAAAGAGGAAAGAGAGUUGGGGUUUCACAAGUAGCCCGGACCGCAGUGAGCCCUGGGAGGGCCGCAGGCGGGGUGUGGCAGAACAGAGCUCUCUCCGUGGGGCAAGAAGACUGGAUCCUGAAACCCUGGGUUCUCAACUUCUGCAAAGGUCCCUUCAUGAGCGGGAGCAAGACCACAUCCACUCUGAAGGAGCUUUGCAGGUUCAGGGGAGAGCCAGCGUCAGCUCUGGCCACCGGAGCACAGAGGGCUGUUCCUAAAUGCUGCUUCAAGAAAACCCCUAGGACCUCCAUACCAUCGAAAGACGAUCACGUCAGAUUAGAAUGGAAUUUCCCACCAGCCCCAAGGAAAUGGGCACAGAAUCAGAUUUAAGAUCCAAAAUGUGACAUUAAACACUUGUAUUUAUAGAACAAUAUGCAUAUUCCCUGGGAGGGUUUUCAAGGAGACAACGUUCAAAUAAUCUUUACCAGUGAACCCUUUGGGGGUGUCUUUCUCAUCCACCAACCAGAGAAACCCCCAAGGGAUUUUAAGAGAGAUAGACAGACAGUUACGAUACUCAGUCACUUACCUUUCUUGGAAGCCAAACCAGUCUCCUUUACACUAUUCACAUAGAGCCUUCGAACACCAUCUUCUUCCACGGAGGAAAGGGAAAAGCCUGGAAAACACAAAGACAGAAUGGUAGGGCUCACACCUUCCAAAUGUUUGCCAAACAAUACGAAAUACCUGCUGUGAACUAAGUAUGUUCAAUGUUUUUGGUUACAGUUUGGAGCAAUUGUUUUUUCCUUGUUCGUAUUAUUUUACAAAGCACACAAAAAAAUGUAUUUUUAGAUCACUCUAAAAAAGCCACUACUUGCAAAAAUUAACAUUACCCGGUACAUCUCUCCUCACACCACCUACCUAUCAACCCAAAUGGAAGAAAAUUAUUUUGUUUUACCUUGCUUGCUAGCAAAUGCCACAGUUUUAUUUUUUCCAUUGUCUCUUCCACAGUGCAAACGGGAUGAUUAGCAUAUCUCAACUGGGUCCUUUGGCUUUUUGCAGCC